rnacentral:rRNA from 1 species
CCUACGGGAGGCAGCAGUGGGGAAUAUUGGACAAUGGGCGAAAGCCUGAUCCAGCCAUGCCGCGUGUGUGAAGAAGGCCUUCGGGUUGUAAAGCACUUUCAGUGGGGAAGAAAGCCUUGGGGCUAAUACCCUCGAGGAAGGACAUCACCCACAGAAGAAGCACCGGCUAACUCCGUGCCAGCAGCCGCGGUAAUACGGAGGGUGCGAGCGUUAAUCGGAAUUACUGGGCGUAAAGCGCGCGUAGGCGGUCUGAUAAGCCGGUUGUGAAAGCCCCGGGCUCAACAUGGGAACGGCAUCCGGAACUGUCAGGCUAGAGUGCAGGAGAGGAAGGUAGAAUUCCCGGUGUAGCGGUGAAAUGCGUAGAGAUCGGGAGGAAUACCAGUGGCGAAGGCGGCCUUCUGGACUGACACUGACGCUGAGGUGCGAAAGCGUGGGUAGCAAACAGGAUUAGAUACCCGAGUAGUC